GAGUUUGAUUCCUGGCUCAGGACGAACGCUGGCGGCGUGCUUAACACAUGCAAGUCGAACGAUGAAGCCUAGCUUGCUAGGUGGAUUAGUGGCGAACGGGUGAGUAAUACGUGAGUGACCUACCUUUGACUCUGGGAUAAGCCUGGGAAACUGGGUCUAAUACCGGAUACGACCAAUCUCCGCAUGGGGUGUUGGUGGAAAGCGUUAUGGAGUGGUUUUAGAUGGGCUCACGGCCUAUCAGCUUGUUGGUGAGGUAAUGGCUUACCAAGGCGACGACGGGUAGCCGGCCUGAGAGGGUGACCGGCCACACUGGGACUGAGACACGGCCCAGACUCCUACGGGAGGCAGCAGUGGGGAAUAUUGCACAAUGGGCGCAAGCCUGAUGCAGCGACGCCGCGUGAGGGAUGACGGCCUUCGGGUUGUAAACCUCUGUUAGCAUCGAAGAAGCGAAAGUGACGGUAGGUGCAGAGAAAGCGCCGGCUAACUACGUGCCAGCAGCCGCGGUAAUACGUAGGGCGCGAGCGUUGUCCGGAAUUAUUGGGCGUAAAGAGCUUGUAGGCGGUUGGUCGCGUCUGCUGUGAAAGGCUGGGGCUUAACCCUGGUUUUGCAGUGGGUACGGGCUAACUAGAGUGCAGUAGGGGAGACUGGAAUUCCUGGUGUAGCGGUGGAAUGCGCAGAUAUCAGGAGGAACACCGAUGGCGAAGGCAGGUCUCUGGGCUGUAACUGACGCUGAGAAGCGAAAGCAUGGGGAGCGAACAGGAUUAGAUACCCUGGUAGUCCAUGCCGUAGACGUUGGGCACUAGGUGUGGGGGACAUUCCACGUUUUCCGCGCCGUAGCUAACGCAUUAAGUGCCCCGCCUGGGGAGUACGGCCGCAAGGCUAAAACUCAAAGAAAUUGACGGGGGCCCGCACAAGCGGCGGAGCAUGCGGGUUAAUUCGAUGCAACGCGAAGAACCUUACCAAGGCUUGACAUAUACUGGGACUGCGUCAGAGAUGGCGUUUUCCCUUUCGGGGGCUGGUAUACAGGUGGUGCAUGGUUGUCGUCAGCUCGUGUCGUGAGAUGUGGGUUAGUCCCCGCAACGAGCGCAAACCCUCGUUUCUAUGUUGCCAGCACGUGAUGGUGGGGACUCAUAGGAGACUGCCGGGGUCAACUCGGAGGAAGGUGGGGACGACGUCAAAUCAUCAUGCCCCUUAUGUCUUGGGCUUCACGCAUGCUACAAUGGCCGGUACAGAGGGUUGCGAUACUGUGAGGUGGAGCUAAUCCCUAAAAGCCGGUCUCAGUUCGGAUUGGGGUCUGCAACUCGACCCCAUGAAGUCGGAGUCGCUAGUAAUCGCAGAUCAGCAACGCUGCGGUGAAUACGUUCCCGGGCCUUGUACACACCGCCCGUC
rnacentral:rRNA from 1 species